rnacentral:rRNA from 1 species
UACGUAGGGUGCGAGCGUUAAUCGGAUUUACUGGGCGUAAAGCGCGCGUAGGCGGUGCGGUAAGUCAGGGGUUAAAGGCUGCAGCUCAACUGCAGUAAGGCCUUUGAUACUAUCGUGCUAGAGUGUCAGAGAGGAUGGCGGAAUUCCAGGUGUAGCGGUGAAAUGCGUAGAUAUUGGAAGGAAUACCGGUGGCGAAGGCGGCCACCUGGUCAGAAACUGACGCUGAGGUACGAAAGCGUGGGGAGCAAACAGG